AUCUUUGUGGGCGGUAAAAGGAGAUGACUGGGUUUUCAUACUCAUGUGAGAUAUGCCUUCCAUAAGCUUCGUUAUGACAUCAGCACAUUAUCUGUCUGACG
rnacentral:snoRNA from 1 species